UUAUCGUGGACUUGGAACGAUAUUUUUUCAACGAUAAGAAGCAUAAUAUAUUUUUAAAUAAUAAGAACUAUGAACUUCCUGGUUACAUUUUAUGCAUAAAGUUACGUUGUUACGACUUCGAGAUAGUACUAAGGUGUUGUAUUAGUACAAAAUUAAUUUAAGGCAAAUGACCGCUGGUCGUACAAAUCGAAUCAUUAUCAUCUGUUAACACCAGAAAAACUACAAAAUAUUCUAUUUCAUAAUGAUAUCUGCAAGAUUUAAUAAAUUACUCAGAAAUUGUAGUUCGCUGUACAAGAAAAAUCAAAUUCAUCAUUCUACGACAGAGAAGCAAACCAAAAUCAAAAUUAAUAAUAUUGAAAUUAAUUAUUUAAAAGUUGGAAAUGGUCCACAGACCUUGUUGUUAUUGCCAGGAGCAUUAGGUUCAAUAUUUACUGAUUUUAAGCCACAAAUUGAAACUCUUAAUCGUGAAAAAUAUACAAUAGUUGCAUGGGAUCCACCAGGUUAUGGUUUUAGUCGACCACCAGACAGAGAUUUUUCACCAGGAUUUUUUUAUCGUGACGCUGACUAUGCCAUUUCACUUAUGAAAUCAUUGCAAAUUGAUAAAUAUUCGCUGCUGGGUUGGAGCGAUGGUGGGAUCACUGCACUUAUAAUGGCAUCCAAAGCUGUUGACAAAGUGGAAAAACUCAUAGUUUGGGGUAGUAAUGCGUAUGUUACUGAAAAAGAUAUUGAAUUAUACGAGAAAAUACGAGAUGUCCAAAAAUGGUCCCCACGCAUGAGGCAACCGUUUAUUGAUUUGUAUGGCGAAAAGUAUUUUUCAGAUACUUGGAAUGCUUGGGUAAAUUCAUUUCAAAUAAUACUUAAAGAAAACGAAGGGGACAUUUGUCGAAAAGCGCUGUCUAAAAUUGAUGCGCCUACUCUUAUUUUACAUGGUGCUCAAGACCCUUUAGUGCCUAUGGAGCAUCCAGUUCAUUUACACAAAAAAAUAAAAUAUGGAUCGCUUGAAAUCUAUCCGGAAGGCAAACACAACAUUCAUCUAAGGUACGCCGAACUGUUCAAUUCGGCGGUAGACGAUUUCCUGGCCGAAGACUUGUAGAGGAGAUCGCAAGACUUGUCGAAAUAAUAAUAAUAAACUUAGUUUCAAAAUAAUAAUAGUUCCUAUUAAAAUCAUAGCAGCGGGGGUGCUAGUCAAUAUAGCCGAUGCAAAAGCAGUUCUAAAUCGUAUAAGGAGGCAAAAAAUAAUAAUAUGACCGAACCUGCAGCGGCGUGGGACGUGCGACCGAAAUCUCUGCAGGAAUUGACGUUGCGCGACAAGGCAUGGCGUUACCAGGGCGAGGGCAACGCCAACGUGGUUUUGUCGGUGCCCGCCGACGGGACAGUGGUGCGGGUGAUGAAAGAAGGUGACGGCGGCGGCGCCGAAACCACGGAGGCCGCGGCGGCCGAAACACUAUCCGUGCGGUUGCGCUUUUGCGACGCCGUCAGACGUACAUUCUUCGACGGCGGCGGCCGCCACGUAGACGUGCCCGUGCCGAUGCGCGUGUCCGCCGAAGAGUUGCGCGAAAUCGACCGGGUCAUCCGGCCGCAUAGGCCGCCGGGCCGGCGGCACAAGGGCCUCGGGUUGGCCGGGUGUCUGGUGGCCUUGUGUCCGGAUUACACGGCGCUGCCGCCGACGGACGUGCCGGGCGUCUGGUGCGUCGAGAUCAAACCCAAACAGGGAUGGGUGCACGAGGACGACAUCGCGGCGGGCGGGGUGCGGACAAAGUGCCCGUUCUGCGCGCACCAGUACCUGAAGCUGUUCCGGGGCGACGUCCAUAGGCCGAGAUUUACUGAUUUACCUUUUACAAGAGAUAUAGAAGGUGGUUCUAAAUUCUAAUCCAAUGCAAAAGUCAAAAAUAAUACAUUUAUAAAAUUUAUAUUCUAUAAUACCUAUCUACCUGAAAAUAAUAGUAACUAGAACACUACAAUAAUUUUCUGCGCUUUUUCAUUAGAGCAAAUGUACUUAUUACAUUAUCAAAAUCAAUGGUUUGAGCUAUGUUGCUUUCUAUGCUCAAUAUGGCCAAAUUUUAAAGCCGGUCUUUAGUCAUAGUUGAGCGAAGGCAUCUUUUGAGAAGUUUUAGACGGCUCAAACUUCUUUCUGCAGUUGCAUUGCUGACUGGAAGUAUACAAAAUAUUUUAAACAGAUUUAAAGGUCCAGUUACUCCAGCUUCAAUAUUUUCGUCGUACACUUGUAUUGGUAAACAAGACAUAAUGAAUGGAAUUCCACCUCUAUAUCAAUUUCAUCUAUGCCAACUUCAUGAAAUCUUAUAUAUAGGUACAACAAUUCAAUAAACAGAAAUACAUCAAUAUCAGUACGUACCAUUAUGUACCAUAUUUACUGUUGGGGAUUUCCAAGUAUUUGCGUAUCUACUGGUUUUUUAUUUCAAUAUUCACAAAAUGAAAAGCUACUAACAAUAGCACCCGAUAUUGGAAUAUAUAAAUGCUUUUUUAGCGAUCUCGAUGACUAUGGAAAUUUAAUUUUCUACUGGCUACCCACCUGUGGUAUGCUGACUGCUAAUUUAAUUUUGUUCUUUCUAACUGCUAUUCAUUUUUCAAGAAUUAAAUCUGAACUCAAUAAAUUCAGACGAACCGAUUCAAAAAUAGAAAUGUUUCUAGUUUACAAAGAGAGAUUCGUAAUGCACAUCAAACUAUUUCUGGUUUUUGGAAUGCCAUUUUCAUUUUUUAUGGUAUCUCAGUUUUUUCAAUUUAAAGGGAUCAAAGCGGUAAUUAUAAAGGCAAUUACCAAUCUACAAGGAGUAUAUAUAUUUAUUAUAUUUGUGACCAAGUCCAAAGUUAUUAUGAACUUACGGAAAAAGUUUAGAGGUUCAAUAGAUUACAGUGAGGGGAGACGAAUUAACACUUUCUCUAGGUCGUCAUAAAAUUGGCACUGGGCAGUGCUCAUAAAAGUUAUAAUGUUUUCUAAAUGCAAUAUCAAUAUACUAUGUAGGUAUUAUUAUAAUAAUAUAUAUUAAGACUCUUGGCCCUAAGUCUGAAAAAAUCAUUAUUUUUGUGUCAUUAGAUAUUAAGUUUUUGUUGCUGUUUACUAUUUUUUAUUUUUAAUAAAUGAAAAUGUAAUUUUUACACAAAUACAUGUUGAACCACAAUUAUAAUAU